AAGCCUGUGUUAGGGUGAACUACAUUACCCAGCAGCCUCUGGGCAGUGAUGGGAUUCAUGGGAUUUCGGAGCUGGAUGGUGUUCGUUCGUUCCUGGGCUGGCGAUUGAGGAGAGAGCUGCGGGGAAGGGAAGCAAAUAGCCCAUCCUGUAUUUGUUGGGGAUGGUGUGCGUCAAUUAAAAAAACCACACCAUAUCACCCCUCCACAUCCUCCUACUGUAUGCCAUACCUUCCUGUACCAUCCAUCUGACCGCCAAUAAACUCCACCUGUGGUAAUCUAA